CGGUUUCAAGGGGUGCUUUAAGCCACCAGGAGGAUCCAACCACCUCCUCCUCGUGUUAACACUGAGAUUUUCCAAUUGUCUGGCCAGAACGGAACACUGCAGCCAGCAACAAAACAGGAAUAGUGAUGGCAUCACCCACACUUCCACAAGCUAUAAAGAGGCAGGUUUCCUCAUGUGUGACACGUGUGUGCCUGGAGACACCCACAACAUUCUCAUUACACCAUUACAGGGCUGGGUGUUUGUCAGUGGCAACGCUGUGACCUGUCACUGGUACCUUGACAGGAUCUCCUCCAGCACCCCUCCAGAGCAGCAUACCUGCAGGGAGAAGCCUAUGCCGGCCAGGGUGAAUGGUGAGUGCCUUCCAAGAGCCUUUGGGAGCAUGAAACAGGAACCUGUGGCACGAGGAGCAGCUGGGAAGCCUCAGCACUAUGUGAACUUUGCACAGCUUGGGACCAACUGUCGCUAUAGGAUUUCCAUACAUCCCUUCACACGCCGGCUCUGGUGACGAAUUGGUUCUGUAAGAGCAGAUCAAAUAUCCAGGACUCCAGAUCAAAUGCCGUGGCACCGAUCCUGCUCUGCACCGGGAGCUGCCACCAGCCAGGCGGUCACACCAUGCAGCACCCCUGGUGCCAAGAGCCUUGGCCUGGAAAAAUGGGGUCAGACUAAAAUUAUCCCUGGCCUCAUGUGCCCCACAGUCUGGGAUGAAACCUACACCCGGUGGGACGUCAGUGGCACACGGGGCUGCCCAAGGAAUGGCGUGGACAGGGACACGGGACAUGGGACACGGGACAUGUCCCCUCCACCCUGAGGAGCCAGGGGGGAAGCUCUGGAGCAACAAAUAAAGCCUAAAUUGGGCAA